rnacentral:lncRNA from 1 species
GGGUCCUCCAGGGGUCCCCAAAUGUCACCGAGGGUCUUCUGAGUGUCCCCAAAUGUCAAUGAGAGUUUUCUGAGUGUCCCCAAACGUCACCAGGGUCCUCCAGGAGUCCCCGAAUGUCACCAAAUGUCAGCGAGGGUCUUCUGAGCGUCCCUAAAUGCCACCAGGGCUCCCCAAAUGGCACCGAGGGCCCUCCGAGUGUCACCAAAUGUCACCGAGGGUCCCCAAUGGCACCGGGGUCCUCCAGGGGUCCCCAGAUGUCAUCGAGGGUCCCCCGAGUGUCCCCAAAUGUCAUUGAGGGUUUUCUGAGUGUCCCCAAAUGCUACCGUGGGCCCCAAAUGGCACCAAGAUCCUCCAGGGGUCCCCAAAUGUCAUUGAGGGUCCCCCGAGUGUCCCCAAAUGGCACCGGGGUCCUCCAAGUGUCCCCAGAUGUCACCGAGGGUCCUCCAGGGGUCGCCAAAUGUCACCGAGGGUCCCCAAAUGGCACCAGAGUCCUCCAAGUGUCACUAAACGUCAUUGAGGAUGCUCCAGGUGUCCCCAAAUGCCACCGGGGUCCUCCGAGUGUCCCCCAAUGGCACCGGGGUCCUCCGAGUGUCCCCAAAGCGUCACCGGGGUCACCCAGGUCGUUCCAAGAAUGUCACUGAGGUCCUCUGGUUGUCCCCAAGGUGACAUCGGAGGUCCUCCAACCACUCCGGGAGUGUCACCGGGGUCCUCUGCCUGUCCCCAAAGUGUCACUGGGGGUCCUCUAACCACCCGAAGGUGGCACUGGGGGUCCCCUGGCUGUCCCCAAGAUGUCACUGGGGGUCCUCCAACCACCCCACGAGUGUCACUGGGGUCCCCAAAGUGUCACCGAGGUCCUCUGCCUGUCCCUAAGGGGUCACCGGGGUCCUCUGGCUGUCCCCCAAGUGACACCGGAGGUCCUCCAACCACCCCACGAGUGUCACUGGGGUCCUCUCGUUGUCCUCAAGGUGUCACCGGGGUCCCCCUGGCUGCCCCCAAGAUGUCACCAGGAGUCCUCCAACCACUCCACAGAUGUCACCGGGGUCCCCCCAAGGUGUCACUGGGGUCCUCUGGCUGUCACCAAGGUGACACCGGGCUCCCCCAAGGUGUCACUGGGGGUCCUCCAACCUCCCCAGGAGUGUCACUGGGGUCCCCAAAGUGUCACCGGGGUCCUCUGGCUGUCCCCAAGGUGACAUCGGAGGUCCUCCAACCACCCCACGAGUGUCACUGGGGUCCUCUCGUUGUCCUCAAGGUGUCACCGGGGUCCCCCAAAGUGUCACCUGGGCCCUCCAUCCGUCCCCAAAGUGUCACCGAGGUGCCCCCAGGUGUCACCAGGGCACCUCCAACAGCUCCAGGACCUCCACUGAGGUCCUCCAAGGUCUCACCGGGGUCCCCCAAAGU